rnacentral:piRNA from 1 species
UGGUAUCUCCCAUUGCCACUGCACAGC